UUUUACUCAACUCCCCCGCAGCCAUAGCAGCGAGUCAACAUCUAUAUAUAUAUAUGAAUGGUAGUUCUCUGUGCAACCAGAACAACAGCGGCAAAAAAACCCAGCAGAAGCAAGUAUAAAAGUCAUGGUGCAUGGCCACGAUGGUCAUAUUCCUACGUUAAUAGAGAGACGUGGAGGAUCUGAAAGGCCACUGGUUCUUUCUGUGAAUAGUAGGAAAGAGACAUCUUAUUGGAUUCAGAUUUCAGAAAUAGCAAAGAAGAGACUGAAGGAAGCAAAAACAACAGUUGAGAACAUCGAAAAGCUUUAUCUCAAUCAAACUCUUAUGAGUUUACCAUGGUUGGGUUUGAAACUUUCGGAGUCAAGCUUGGACUUCAUAUACAACAUAGUUAAUGAUACUGCUGCACAAGCAAGUGCAGCAAAAGAAGCAAAGUUUAAAGCAAGUGCUGCAGCAGAAGCAAAGUUUAUUAGCGAUUCUGAGAAAUUGAAGGCUUCAAAUUUCGGUGCAUCACUCUUAAGAAUAGGCUCAUGGAUGGUACAGCCUCCACGUGAAGGUGCUUUAGUAGUAAAGAUUUAUUUUGCCAAGCGAAAACUAGUGUGGGAAAUUCUAGAGAAUGCUUUGAAGAAAAAGAUUGAAAUACAAUGGUCUGAUAUUAUAGGAAUUCGAGCUAGAAUUAUGGAAGAUAAGCCUGGAAUUCUAGAGAUUGAGCUUAACAAUCGUCCUGCUUUCUUUGACGAAAGUAAUCCAAUGCCGCGCAAGCACACCAUGUGGAAGAUUAGUUCAGACUUUACUGAUAAUCAAGCUCAAAUUUACAGGUUGCACUAUCUUGAAUUUCCUCCAGGAACCCUUGACAAACACUAUGAGAAGCUCCUGCAAUGUGACCCCAAUUUGUUAAAGUUGAGCCAAAGACCUUUCCCAAGUCUUAGUUCUCCUUACUUCCAUACAGAUUGCUACAAUGGGCGUAAAGAAUUUUCUUUGGAUUUUUAUAGACACGGGCAGUUACCUUUACCAUUCUCGAGUAUGCAUUCGCCAUUUAAAUCUAUUCAACAAAUUCAGGCAUAUGAACAAGCCCACCAACAAUACCUUCUUACAACGAAUUCAACUUCACCAAUAUCAGUUAUGGAUUUCUCUCCACAUUCAGAUGGAGCCAUUAGCAACCAAGGAGUUGAUGAUCCAAGGAUGGCAAUGUGGUAUCAAAGGAUGAUUAAUCCUGCAAACGUUCUAGGGAGAGAUCAAAUGCAAGGGCCAUUUUCUAUGGCUAUACCAACCCAAGUAAAUCCAGCCAUAUCUGGUCAAAACUAUAAUGUGUCAGCAGCUUGGCCUAAUUCAGACACUCAAAUCCUAGAUGAUAUUCAAAGCCGAUUGCUGAGUGACAAAAAAUUUCAAUUUGGUUAUGACCCUUACUUAGAGGUGGAGUCAUUGAACAACUUAGUACCUGACUUGCAAAAAGAAAUGAACCCAACAAGCAACUUCGAAACCUGUUUGUUGGGUGAAGCUGAACACACAGGUAUGAAAAAUGUGCGGAAUGUCACAAGGGUGAACUCCUUGGGUUCAUUGAUGGCGUUGCCAACAGAAGAGCAACCUGCAAGUAGCACUCUCUAUACACAGUCUGUUAACUGGCUACCUCAAUCUCAAGAUCCUAAUGUGAAUUUUAUGAUGCAUCGACCUGGGAACAACACUUCAAUGGAUACAGUUUUUGAUCCAGAUCCUAAAGUUGAUACAGAUGAUCCAACAAUGGUAGAUUUCACAACUACUAAUAAUUUUGAUGGGGACAAUCACUGGACAUGAUUCAAAAGCGAGUAUUGAUAUGAGGGAAGGAUGAUAAUAAAGCGUAUGAUUCAAAAGUGAGUAAUAAUAUUAGGGAAGGAUGAUAAUAAAAGCACAUCAUGGUCGAGCCCAAUGCGAUGGCAAGUCGAAAAAAUACAAGUCACAGAUUCAAGCUUAAGAAUUAACCUGUUCAAAGAGAAAAUUGAAGUGUAUUGGUGCAGUGAAGAUUGAUGGUAGGGUGUCUGGCGAUUAGGGAAGCUCUAUUGAAAGCGAUUCACCUAAACAUCAACUCACAUGAUGGUUGCAAGGAGAUAGAAAGAAUGAUCAAAGGCAACAAAUCAAAUGGAAAACAGAGUCCUUAGUUGAAGACAUUCCAAGUAAGCUGUGCGGCAAGAAUCCCAACAAUUUGCCAAUCUUGCCUCAAAUAGUUUCACGAACAUAUUUGGGUCUGAAAUGACUAUGUUGCUGGUUAGAACUUUAUGUUAUUAUCUUCACAUAAACUUUUCCUUUUUGUUGUAUCCAAAAAUAGUUGUGUCCAAAAAACAAAGUCCUUGAAGAA